CCCUUAGAUGUUCUGGGCCGCACGCGCGCUACACUGAUGCAUUCAACGAGUGUACCUUGGCCGAGAGGCCUGGGCAAUCUUUUGAACGUGCAUCGUGAUAGGGAUAGAUUAUUGCAAUUAUUAAUCUUGAACGAGGAAUUCCUAGUAAACGCAGUUCAUCAAACUGCAUUGAUUACGUCCCUGCCCUUUGUACACACCGCCCGUCGCACCUACCGAUUGAAUGGUCCGGUGAAAUCUUGGGAUUUUGUUUUGUUUGCAUUUAUUUGUAUCGAGACGAGAGAACUUGAGUAAACCUUACCAUUUAGAGGAAGGUGAAGUCGUAACA
rnacentral:rRNA from 1 species